ACGCUCGACACCUACGGGAGACAGCAGUGGGGAAUAUUGCACAAUGGGGGAAACCCUGAUGCAGCGACGCCGCGUGAGCGAAGAAGUAUCUCGGUAUGUAAAGCUCUAUCAGCAGGGAAGAAGAUGACGGUACCUGACUAAGAAGCACCGGCUAAAUACGUGCCACAGCCGCGGUAAUCUGAGCGGGCUGGCAAGGC
rnacentral:rRNA from 1 species